rnacentral:rRNA from 1 species
CACGUAAGUUGCGAGCGUUGUUCGGAAUUAUUGGGCGUAAAGGGCAUGUAGGCGGAAGUGCAAGUCUGGUGUGAAAUUCAGGGGCCCAACCCCUGAACUGCGUUGGAAACUGCACUACUUGAGUCACUGAGGGGCAGGCAGAAUUCCUGGUGUAGGGGUGAAAUCUGUAGAUAUCAGGAAGAAUACCGAUGGCGAAGGCAGCCUGCCAGCAGAUGACUGACGCUGAGGUGCGAAGGUGCGGGGAGCGAAC